rnacentral:rRNA from 1 species
UACGGGGGGGGCAAGCGUUGUUCGGAAUUACUGGGCGUAAAGGGCUCGUAGGCGGCCAACUAAGUCGGAUGUGAAAUCCCCAGGCUUAACCUGGGAAUUGCAUCCGAUACUGGAUGGCUUGAAUCCGGGAGAGGGAUGCGGAAUUCCAGGUGUAGCGGUGAAAUGCGUAGAUAUCUGGAGGAACACCGGUGGCGAAGGCGGCAUCCUGGAUCGGCAUUGACGCUGAGGAGCGAAAGCCAGGGGAGCAAACGGG